rnacentral:rRNA from 1 species
UGGGGAAUAUUGGACAAUGGGGGCAACCCUGAUCCAGCGACGCCGCGUGUGUGAAGAAGGCCUGCGGGUUGUAAAGCACUUUUAGUGGGGAUGAAAAGUUCAGGGCUAAUACCUCUGGAUCUUGACCUAACCCAAAGAAAAAGCACCGGCUAACUCUGUGCCAGCAGCCGCGGUAAUACAGAGGGUGCAAGCGUUAAUCGGAAUUACUGGGCGUAAAGCGUGCGUAGACGGUUAUGUAAGUCGGGUGUGAAAGCCCCGGGCUCAACCUGGGAAUUGCAUUCGAAACUGCAUAGCUAGGGUGCGGAAGAGGGAAGCGGAAUUUCAGGUGUAGCGGUGAAAUGCGUAGAUAUCUGAAGGAACACCAGUGGCGAAAGCGGCUUCCUGGUCCAGCACCGACGUUCAGGCACGAAAGCGUGGGGAGCAAACAGGAUUAGAUACCCUGGUAGUCCACGCCAUAAACGAUGAGAACUAGACGUUGAGAGGGUAAGCCUCCCAGUGUCGUAGCUAACGCGCUAAGUUCUCCGCCUGGGGAGUACGGCCGCAAGGUUG